UGAAGUAAAGGCGAUGGAGUUCGCUUAAUCGUCCCGAUUAAAUCGGGACCGAUAACUCCUACCACCCU
rnacentral:ncRNA from 2 species